rnacentral:rRNA from 1 species
UACGUAGGGUGCAAGCGUUGUCCGGAAUUAUUGGGCGUAGAGAGCUCGUAGGCGGUCUGUCGCGUCGGAUGUGAAAAUCCGAGGGCUCAACCCUGGACCUGCAUUCGAUACGGGCAGACUAGAGUGGAGCGGGGGAGACUGGAAUUCCUGGUGUAGCGGUGAAAUGCGCAGAUAUCAGGAAGAACACCCGUGGCUAAGGCGGCUCUCGUAGUAGCGGUACUGACGCUGAGACGCGAAAGCGUGGGGAGCGAACAGG